rnacentral:rRNA from 1 species
UACAGAGGGUGCGAGCGUUUAAUCGGAAUUACUGGGCGUAAAGCGCGUGUAGGCGGCCCGAUAAGUCCGCUGUGAAAGUCCAGGGCUCAACCCUGGGAUGCCGGUGGAUACUGUCGGGCUCGAGUCCGGAAGAGGCGAGUGGAAUUCCUGGUGUAGCGGUGAAAUGCGCAGAUAUCAGGAGGAACACCAAUGGCGAAGGCAGCUCGCUGGGACGUGACUGACGCUGAGACGCGAAAGCGUGGGGAGCAAACAGG